rnacentral:rRNA from 1 species
GAUGAACGCUGGCGGCGUGCCUAAUACAUGCAAGUCGAGCGAACAGAUGAGGAGCUUGCUCCUCUGACGUUAGCGGCGGACGGGUGAGUAACACGUGGAUAACCUACCUAUAAGACUGGGAUAACUUCGGGAAACCGGAGCUAAUCCCGGAUAAUCUAUUGAACCGCAUGGUUCAAUAGUGAAAGACGGUUUUGCUGUCACUUAUAGAUGGAUCCGCGCCGCAUUAGCUAGUUGGUAAGGUAACGGCUUACCAAGGCAACGAUGCGUAGCCGACCUGAGAGGGUGAUAGGCCACACGGGAACUGAGACACGGUCCAGAGGCCUGCGGGAGGCAGCAGUAGGGAAUCUUCCGCAAUGGGCGAAAGCCUGACGGAGCAACGCCGCGUGAGUGAUGAAGGUCUUGGGAUCGGAAAACUCUGUUAUGAGGGAAGAACAAAUGUGUAAGGAACUAUGCACGUCGUGACGGUACCUAAUCAGAAAGCCACGGCUAACUACGUG